rnacentral:rRNA from 1 species
GAUCAUGGCUCAGGAUGAACGCUGGCGGCGUGCUUAACACAUGCAAGUCGAGCGAUGAAGUUUCCUUCGGGAAACAGAUUAGCGGCGGACGGGUGAGUAACACGUGGGUAACCUGCCUCAUAGAAUGGAAUAGCCUUCCGAAAGGAAGAUUAAUACCGCAUAACGUUGAAUGAUGGCAUCAUCAUUCAACCAAAGGAGCAAUCCGCUAUGAGAUGGACCCGCGGCGCA